CGUUCGUUCUCUUGAAUUGUUCCAACCUUUACUCGUGCGUUAUUUUACUAGGAGUCGCAAUCGUAACCACUCAUAAUCUUGAGACUUCGAUGUUCCAUCCUUCUUAUCUCUCAACUCGUCAUACUUGGAGAAUCAGAAGACUUAGCAAUUAUGCGAUUUGGGUGGAUCAUCAAGUGGACAAGGCGGAUUGGAUAACCGCUUUAAAGAAAAGCUUUGAAAAGGUAGUAAUAGCAACUUGCGGAUGAAGAUCAAGCUAUAUAGUAAACCGAACACGCACGCAAAGAAGCUUCCGCAAUUGAAAUCACUUCUUUUGUCAUAUAAUGUUUUGAUGUUGUAUUUUCAUACUUUUGUUUAGACAGUUAGUAUGGUUAAAAGUUAAGUAUGUUGGGUUGAGCAAUAUGUUUUGGA